rnacentral:lncRNA from 1 species
AUUGAUGCACCUAUUCAAGAUGAUGGCUUUGGUGGGAAUUUAGGCCAAGAUAUGAUUGCAGGAGGGUUGUUCGAAGGGCUUGUUCGAUGAUGCUCCUAUGCCAGAAGUUCCUGCUGUUGACACAAGCUCUGUGGCACAGCUGGAUAUGCCUCAAGAACAACCCUGCACAUGCCGCAGACAGUGAUGAUGAUGACCACUUCGACCAUGCCAUGCCUAGUCCUGGAGCACCAAUUCCGACGGUUCUCGCCCAGCUUCACCGUUAGAUACCAACAGUAUGAUGCCGCCCCCGCUCCACCUCAAGCACCCGCCCAAGAGGCACCUCCGCUUUUUCCAGAGCCACAAGAACCUGAACCAGCUGCAGAUCAUACGACUUACUUCAGAAUGAAGAGGAAAGUUUUGCACUUGCUCCGUAGAUGCCUCUGCCCUCAAAGGGCUGACCAAAACGAAGAGGAAAAGAAAGCUUAUUGUCGAUGA